rnacentral:rRNA from 1 species
UACGUAGGGUGCAAGCGUUGUCCGGAAUUAUUGGGCGUAAAGAGCUCGUAGGCGGUUUGUCGCGUCGGCUGUGAAAACCUGGGGCUCAACCCCGGGCCUGCAGCCGAUACGGGCAAACUAGAAUUCGGUAGGGGAGACUGGAAUUCCUGGUGUAGCGGUGAAAUGCGCAGAUAUCAGGAGGAACACCCGUGGCGAAGGCGGUUCUCUGGGACGGUACUGACGCUGAGACGCGAAAGCGUGGGGAGCGAACAGG